rnacentral:rRNA from 1 species
GAUGAACGCUGGCGGCGUGCCUAAUACAUGCAAGUAGAACGCUGAAGGAGGAGCUUGCUCUUCUGGAUGAGUUGCGAACGGGUGAGUAACGCGUAGGUAACCUGCCUGGUAGCGGGGGAUAACUAUUGGAAACGAUAGCUAAUACCGCAUGACAACAGUUAUUGCAUGAUAACUGUUUAAAAGGGGCAACUGCUCCACUACCAGAUGGACCUGCGUUGUAUUAGCUAGUUGGUGAGGUAACGGCUCACCAAGGCGACGAUACAUAGCCGACCUGAGAGGGUGAUCGGCCACACUGGGACUGAGACACGGCCCAGACUCCUACGGGAGGCAGCAGUAGGGAAUCUUCGGCAAUGGACGGAAGUCUGACCGAGCAACGCCGCGUGAGUGAAGAAGGUUUUCGGAUCGUAAAGCCCUGUUGUAAGAGAAGAACGAGUGUGAGAGUGGAAAGUUCACACUGUGACGGUAUCUUACCAGAAAGGGACGGCUAACUACGUG